GGGAGGGUGGAAGGACAGAGGCUCCCCUUUCUUCUGGGCUUGGUUCCGGAGGAGGCCAAAAGAGAGUUUACCAGGGAAGCAAUUUGAAGGCAAAAGUCCACUCUAAAGUGAAGACUGCCUAUGAGAGGUGAACACAAGAGAUUCCCCUGAAGGUCACAGACCGGCUGGUUGGUGUAUGCAAAAGAGAAAGAGAGACCCUGUUUGAAAAAGGCUGAAGGUUUGCUGAGUUGAAUGCCAAAGAGUCUUCGAAGGACGAUUUCCAUUCAGGGAGAUCCGGUUACCCAGCUCCUAGAAAAGGAAGAAGACAUUCCUUAGGGCAGCAAUCCACACAUUGUUGGAACUAAAACAGUGGACACUGUGGAGACACAGGAUUUGACUUUCUCCCCUACUGUGAUGACGAUCCCAGUAUUUACUGCCACCAGUAUUGAUCAAAGGUACCAGAUCUCCUGUCAAGAGACAUUGUACUGAAUGGAAGAACUUCUUGAUAUUCUCCUAAUAAAGGAUACAAAGUCUUCCCGGAUAACCUGGAUGGUGAAAACUGUUCCUUCAUGGAAUGUCACCAUGUGGCACAAUCAUACUUCACUUGAGCCAUAGAAAAUUCAAACACUCCCAAAACAACUAGUACACCAUGGAGAGAGAAAAUCUAAUGGCUUCAUGUUAUAGUUUGAAUUUGAAAUGCUCCCCACAGGUUCAUGUAUUUAAUUUGGUGAUACCAUUUGGGAAUACUGUGUGACAUGUAGGGGUCACACCUUGAUGGGAGAAGUGCAUCACGAGGGGCGGGCCUUGAGAAGCCUAGUCCACUUCCUGUUUACUCUACAUGUUUCACAACUAUGUAUGCCAUGUGACCAGCUGUCCUCUGGCUCCAGCUGCCACUCCCUCCAUGUUGUGAUGGAAAACAGUCCCUUGAACUAUAAAAGAGAAUAAACAGCCAAGUCCCAACUCA
rnacentral:lncRNA from 1 species